UCGUGCUAGACGGGGAGCCAGCGGUGCCCUUUUCCCGAAAUCCGCUUAUGCGGGGUCGAAGGCCCGCCCAGGGCCCAGCGUCGGAGAAGGCGCGCCUCCCUUACCCCUGCCGGACACCGCGUGACGGACGGUCGUGAAACCCGUCAGGUCCGGGAGGAAGCAGCGGUAAGCGAUGCGGUUCGUGUCGCGGAGCGUCCCGGUUUGCGGCGUGGGGGUUGGCCGUUGUCUUUUGGCGCUGGCUCGAAGCGGGAUGCACGG
rnacentral:SRP_RNA from 1 species